AGAGUUUGAUCAUGGCUCAGAAUCAACGCUGGCGGCGUGCCUAACACAUGCAAGUCGAACGAGAAAGUGGAGCAAUCCAUGAGUAAAGUGGCGACCGGGUGAGUAACACGUGACUAACCUACCUUCGAGUGUGGAAUAACCUCGGGAAACCGAGGCUAAUACCGCAUAACAUCGCAAGAUCAAAGCAGCAAUGCGCUUGA
rnacentral:rRNA from 1 species